rnacentral:tRNA from 1 species
GGCUGUAGCUUAGUGGUAGAGCAUUUGCCUUGCAUGUGUGAGGCACUGGGUUCGAUCCUCAGCACCA